rfam:Clostridium sp. CAG:7 genomic scaffold, scf335
ACUGUGGAGUGUACAAGAACUUGUGAGUAGCGUGUUGCUUGCGACCGCCAAAGCAUACACAUUGAAGCAGUAA